CAGCCGCCGCGGUAAUACGAAGGGGGCUAGCGUUGCUCGGAAUUACUGGGCGUAAAGCGUGCGCAGGCGGUUCGUUAAGACAGAUGUGAAAUCCCCGGGCUUAACCUGGGAACUGCAUUUGUGACUGGCGAGCUAGAGUAUGGCAGAGGGGGGUAGAAUUCCACGUGUAGCAGUGAAAUGCGUAGAGAUGUGGAGGAAUACCGAUGGCGAAGGCAGCCCCCUGGGCCAAUACUGACGCUCAUGCACGAAAGCGUGGGGAGCAAACAGGAUUAGAUACCCCAGUAGUCCCUGUCUCUUAUAA
rnacentral:rRNA from 1 species